rnacentral:lncRNA from 1 species
AGUCGACUUUUGCAGUUGCAUAGAGGAAACAGUAGACUUGAUAAUCAGAAGCUGAUUCGAGCAUGACUUUGUUAAAGAAUGCGUUCUUGCCAUAUCUGCUGCUGCCAGCGUACUUGGAGUUCCCAUCAUUGUUGAAGGCGUCAUAGGUGGCUUGGCAGAAGUCGCCACAGCGAAGGAUUAGGCGACGGAGGCUGAAGCUCAGAGGGUCGAGGAGGCCGUUCCAGUCGUCGCGGCCGAGAAGUUCCGGCCAUGUUGGCUCUGUUUGAGAUGAGUCCACCAUGGUUCUUUGCGGAUAAGAAUUUGAGGUGAAUGCAAUGUGGGAUCCUAGGCAAUUACCUGUGGUUCUGUGGAGGAGAGCGCCAAAUGAUAUGGCAACUUGAAAUUUGGACCGCACAUAUCAACUUCUUGCUGUCCACCAAUAAAUGGUUGACACAUCAUUUUACAUUAAAGUGUCACCUAAUUUUUGAGGCAUUUUCAAGAAUAUCCAAUUUUAAGAGUAUGAGUUGAAAAAUGUCCACUCAUUUGAAUUUAGUGUCAAUUUGUCUAUUAUGCCCUUAAUGAAAAGCUACAUUUUGAAAUGGUAUUUUCGAUAUUUUAAAUAUCAUUCUCGACAUUUUGAUUUUUUUAUCAAUUUGUCAAGAAUUUUGAGAAGUGGCUUCCAUGAAAAGUUAUAUUAAAAUAAAUUCGGACGACAAAAAAAGAAAAAGAAAAUAUAAUACUUUAAAAAAAUAACGUGAAAACAAAAAAUAUGAUACUUUUAAAAAAAAAAAAAAAAUCACGUCUCCGUGACAUGGAGACAUUCUCGACAUUUGCCACCGUGUCACGGAGACAUUCUCGACAUUACUAAUGUCAUUCUCGACAUUUGAAUACCGUGUCAUUAAAAAAAAAAAAUUGAAAAAAUCCCGUCUCCGUGACACGGACAAGUAAUAGCCCUUAAUGAAAAGCUACAUUUUGAAAUGGUAUUUUCGAUAUUUCAAAUGUCAUUCUCGACAUUUUGAUUUUUUUAUCAAUUUGUCACGAAUUUUGAGAAGUGGCUUCCAUGAAAAGUUAUAUUAAAAUAAAUUCGGACGACAAAAAAAGAAAAAGAAAAUAUAAUACUUUAAAAAAAUAACGUGAAAACAAAAAAUAUGAUACUUUUAAAAAAAAAAAAAUCACGUCUCCGUGACACGGAGACAUUCUCGACAUUACUAAUGUCAUUCUCGACAUUUGAAUACCGUGUCAUUAAAAAAAAAAUUGAAAAAAUCCCGUCUCCGUGACACGGACAAGUACCUCCGUGUCACGGUGACAUUCUCGACGUUACAUAUGUCAUUCUCGACAUUUGAACGUUUCAUUUGUCUAGAAUGACAUUUUAUUUUGAACAUAACAUUUCUCGACAUUUGAAAAUAUCGUUCUCGACAUUUCUGAGUCAACGAAAAAUAUAGCAUUUAUUGUGAUUUGACAUGUAUACUUUUGAAAUAAAUAUAGCAGGUUAUGUGUCAAAAUUUUAUUCGUCAAUAACAAUUUUACAAAAAUGUCCAUUUUUUUGUCGUAGUGUGGAAUAAAAAAUUGUUAAUAAGGGUAUUUUGGUCUAAAUUUUUUCAAAUUGGACAUUUUUGCAAUGGUUUGCAAUAAUUGACAUUUUUGCAAAUGACUAAGUAAAAAUUGACAUUUGACAAAAUUUCCUCAUCUUAAAACUCCAACAAAGAUGGGUGGAUAAUUAAAAUGAUAGGGUGAUUGAAUAAGGAAACCUUUGGAAAGCCUCCUAAUAGAACAUUAAGAUAGAUGGGUUUAACGAGGCAACGUUCUAUUACUCCAAUUUAAUUAUAGUUAUUUGAGCUUUUUUCCUUCAUUUGGUAUAUUUAUCUUCGCAAACAAAGGUGUAGUGAUAAAAAGUUUGUAACUGUUUCGAUUAAUGGCUUAAGGAAUUUCUACUUUGGUAAGAGACUUCUUGAAUUGACAUUGGCUCUAAUAUUGAUCCAAUGGUGUAUGCGGUGAGCCAUAUUUAAUUUCUCGAGAGUUUGAAUUUAGUUUUAGACCCUGCAUCUCCCUCUCCAGGCUCCAAUCGAGCAAGCUACUCCACACAUCAUGGUGAGUCGUCAUAGUUGUUUGCUGUAUUUUCUAUAAGAAUUGCAAGCAAUAUUUUUGUUUUACUCAUUUUACUUCAUUUUAGAUAAUGUAAAUGUUUCACAAGUUAACCUGUUACAUAUAUUAAAAAAGCCACUUGAACGAUCCCCCUGGACAUCCAGGGAUUGUUCAAGCAAUAGCCCCCUUUAUUUGUUGAAAAAGGCCGUUGGGAUAGGCCCAAAAACAGUGCCAAAUGGCGCCCCCUGUUUUGGCCCUAUUUUCAAGCGCAUUUGUUUUGGGUAAUGAUUGAACCAAUUGAAUUGAUUAAGGAGUGGACAUGAUGUUGUCAUUUCUUGUUGACAUGACUAGACUUGUUUACCCUAAUCGUGAAAUGCCAAUUUACCUUCUUUGUUUUCUCAUAGACAAUAGGGGUAGCUCAAUCUCAAGUUACACUUAUUAAUCAAUUGGUAUUUGGAAUGAAAUAAUGAAUAUAUUUUUAAAUUAUGAUGCAUUGAUAUAAUCAUUGACAUAAUACUAGACGACACUCUAUCAUUAAACUAUAUCAAAUACAAUCAAUUUUUUCUUCUAAUCAUAUCUUGCCAACUAACAUUAUGUCGCUCCAUCUGUCAACCACUUUAUGUUUAUGUCAAAGUGGCAUAACCCUAUGUUUUAAGAUUAUCAUGGAAAUUAAGAUGUCGUUUAAAUGUCUAUAUGCUAAGAAAAUGUUUAUGAAAUCAAUACUGAUUUGUUCAUUUAUCGGCCUCCCUCUCUCUCAGGGUCACAUAUUCCCAAGACAUAAACUCAUAUAUUCAAAAUGAUACCAUUUUAUAAGUUUUGUUUGUCAACAGUCAUGAUGACGUCACAAAUGACAUUAGUUUAAAUUAAUUUAUUGGCAAAAAUAGUCAUGUGAUAAAAUUUAUUUACAAUCUUCUAUUGUUGUCAAAAAUCUAUCAUUGAUAUCUAUCCAUAACAAUGGGGGUAAGGAGUCGUCACUAGAUUUUAUUGAUAAAUCAUAAAUCUAAUUUUCUCCCAAUAGUUGAAGUAAAAUCAAUACCCUACACUAAAUACAAAUAAACACAAGUCUGGUUUGUUUCAUUCAAUUUUUUUAUUUUUAUUUUUUAAUUUUCACCAAUAGGAAGCAAAUGAACAAGGGUUGAUAAUAUUUUUGGUCAUUAAAGUUUGAUUAAAAUAUCAAUUAGCUGGUCGCGUAACUUUAAUUUGUCGUAAUCAUUACUCGAUUUCAAUUUCCAUCCUAAACUUUUGUCCCCGGCUUUCUGAGUAAAAACACCCCCAAUCAUGUCAAUGGGUGAAAAUCUUGAAAUGAGAGAUGAAUACUUUUCGAGUAUGCUCUGUCGGAUGAAUGAUACAUCUAUUUUUUAACAUGAUUUAUCUUCAAACUUUACAAUUGCAACAUAGUUAGCUGGCAUAUUUAUUGAGAAAUACAUCGCAUAUUUUUAUCAUUUUUAAUAUUCAUGUAGAAUUGUGACAUUAAAUUUAGUAACGAUGGAUAAUGGAGUGACUAUUGAGAUUUUACUGAAAGUUCAAUGACUAAAAAUGAAAUUAAUCCUACUAAGAAUCCUAGUAUUUUUCUUACGGUGCACAAAGGCAUGUUUGCCUAAGUUCAUUGAAUUUCAAAGAAAGUAUUUAUUUAUUAUUUUGCAGAAUUGAAGAAAGUAUUAUUAAAUCAAGACUCAUCGUUUUCUAAUAUAAUUAAAAAAAAAAAAAAAAACUCUUGCGAUUAUUAAAGUGAAAAUGGUUGAUUUAUUUAUUUUGAACUCGAGUUCAUACAAGUUAGUGAGGUCAUGCACUAAACACCCAAUUUGUGUGAAAAAGGGACGAAAGAAGAGGUCAGAGAAAGGUUUGUGAAGAUAUUAGUAAUUUGACAUUGGAGAGAACAUACCAAACAUGGAGAUGACCUAAAAAAUAAAAAUAAAAUUGAAAUUUUUGAAUGAGAUGAAGUAAAUUUUGUUAUGUUUGGAACAAGAAUGGAACUCAAUAUUAUUAACCAUGUGAAGAACAUUUGUGUUGUCACAAAAAAGAAAUUGAAGGCGUUGUAGAAAGAAGGCAAUGUUGCCAGGGCGAAAGCCGCGAAACUACACUUGAACAAACAAUAAUAGUUGAUUUUUUUGACCUCAAAAAAGUACAAUUUGUAUCAAGAUAAACAUGAUAACAAUUUUUGUUGAGUGAAUAGACAACCUAUCUAGUAAAUGUUUGAGAACGCAUAAAGUAAAAUGAGCUUUGAGAUAGAUAAUAAUCGUCAACUUGCACAGUUCUACUGGAAUAUCAAUUUAUAACAAUUUGACUUAUUGCAUCGAAAGACGAGUAAAAAGAAAGCCUCAAAGACAUAUCAACUAAGCUAAGAGACUACUUUGAGCAUAUAGAAAAAGAAACGCAAUUUGCAAGCAUCAAGGAGAAGUUUUCAUUAAUGGAGCCAAUAAGUUAGUUCUUGUAUAUGGUUACUUAAAAACGUUGAAAAAACGCAUUUUCUCCAUUUAGUUAUCUUAUUUUCAAUUUUGGACUUACUAGAAUAGAAUGAACGAGGUGAAUAUUAGUGGGUUGAAUAUCUAGAUAGGAAUUUACAAUAAUAUCUAAACUUGAAAUUUGAUCGAAUUCUUUGACAAUUAAGUGAGCUCAUCUUCUUUUUAUUUUCAUGAAAUAAUUCAGUUUUUAGCUAACAACAUUGGUGUUGAGGGACGAGGAACAAGUGUCCAAGUCUGGUUGCAAUGAAAAGCUUGGACCCUACCAUGUCGGCCAUCAACUCUUCUUGUUGGGUCAAUCACAAGGCAAUGUGUUCCACGAGCAAAUGACUUCACUAUUGGACUUGUGACAUCUCCUCUUUUUCGAUUUAACUCCUUCACAUUAGAGUCAUGAGACAUGUCGGUUGCAAUCUCAAAAGCAUUAUUAGAAAUUGUCUAGAACUAUGUUGUACGUGUUAAAGUUGGUCAUUCACGAUUUUAUAUUAUAGAUAUAGAUUCAUCGUCGAUUCUUCCUAUCGUUCCUUUUAUCUUGGAUAUCUCACUUAGAAUGAUUAGCAUUCUUUUCAAUAUUGUGCCCAUGGUAUGUACUGCAUGUGAUCGGUGAGAACGUUUCUUUCAAAACUUAGAUUAGCGCUCAGUGUGAGUGCUGAAGUUCUCGAGUAUAUGGGAUAUGAGAGAUGAUGUGUUAAGAAAUUCUUUUUAUUAUAAAUAACGAUUACUUGAAAGUAUGAUUAUGAGAUAAUUCUUGAAAAAAGUGUUUCAAGAAUAAAAGUACACGAUGAUCACUAAAAUUGAUUAUCACACAUGCUUACACUCAAUAAAAGACCCAAAUAAGCUACUUAUAAGUUUAGCCAAACAUGCCUUCAUUCCACAACAUACCUGAUAAAGUAAAGCAAGAAAAAGCACAUUAUAGAUUAGUGCCAAAUUCCAACCUAAGUUAAAGGAACAGAGAAUCUACAAUUCUUGGAAACCAGAUGGCAACACAGAGCAUUUAGAAUCGGCCAGCGUAGAAACGCCAAACCUUUUAUAGCAUUCGAUCUUCAUCACUCGAGUACCUAAUGCAUGAGCUCAAGAGUGGCAUGGAGUCGUGACCACUUCAAAAUUCAGGCACGGGUUGAUCCUCGUCCGAUAGUGGUUCCAAAAUCCAGUCUCCAUUUUCAUCAAGAACCAUCCCUUUAUUCUUCUCAACCCCCAGUUAAAAACGGGGUAACUGAUAUCCCAGUUUCUGCUAUUGUUUUUGGUAGUCCUCAAGUUGGGAACAGGGCUUUCAAUGAAAGAUUGAACAAAUAUCAAAAUCUGAAUGUGCUGCAUAUCAAGAACGAGAUUGAUAUGAUUCCGCAUUAUCUGAGUCCAUUACCGGGAUAUUCGAAUACUGGAAUCGAGCUGGAGAUUGACAACAGAAAAUCUCCAAGUUUGAAGGAAUCGAGCAAUCCGAGUGACUGGCAUAAUUUGCAGGUUAUGCUUCAUGUUGGGGCGGGUUGGAAUGGUAGUGAAGGGGAAUUUGAACUGAAAGUGAAGAGGAGUUUGGCUUUGGUGAAUAAAUCCAGUGCCAUUUUAAAUGAUGAGUAUUUGAUUCCUGGUUCUGCGAAUGCUGAUAAAAUUGCUAAACAUGCACCAAGACUAUGCCCUGUUAAUAUUAUGCUCAGAUCUUCAUCUUUAUACUGGUCUCUCAGUGCAUUAAUCUUAGCCAAAAUCUGUUCUCUUGCACUCAAUUUUGUGAAAGAUGAAUUGGGAUCAUUAGAAACGUAAAUUGUAAGCCAACAGUUCAUCACUUUUGGCUCAUUCUCGUCUUCAUCACUACUGCUACUGUCAUCUGGGCUCCUUUUUUCCCAUGAGUUAGGGCGCAAUAAUGGAUCGGCUGACUCUGGUCUAGCUCUCAACACAUUAAGCCAUUCGUAAUUCCUUGAGGUACCGCACCAAACGACAUAAGCUUCCCUACGGCCUCGUACCCUGCUAACUUCAUCGGUCGUCACAGCAGUGUAGCCUAUCCAGUUUGUUUCUCGAUCCCAGGCUUCUCUUGACAGGGAAUGCAAGAAGAGAGCUUGAAAGAAGUUGACUUUCGCAGUUGUGUAGAGGAAACUGUAGACUUGAUAAUCAGAAGCUGAUUCCAGCAUGACUUUGUUAAAGAAUGAGUUCUUGCCAUAUCUGCUGCUGCCAGCGUACUUGGAGUUCCCAUCAUUGUUGAAGGCGUCAUAGGUGGCUUGGCAGAAGUCGCCACAGCGGAGGAUUAGGCGACGAAGGCUGAGGCUCAGAGGGUCGAGGAGGCCGUUCCAGUCAUCACGGCCGAGAAGUUCCGGCCAUGUUGGCUCUGUUUGAGGUGAGUCCACCAUGGUUCUUUGCGGAUAAGAAUUUGGGGUGAAUGCAAUGUAGAUCCUAGGCAAUUACUUCUAACUGUGGUUGGAAGUGGGUUUGUGGAGUGGAGUGGAGUGGAGUGGAGUGUCAAAUGAUAAUGCAACUUGAAAUUUGAAUAGGACGGCAUAUUUUGGACAACAUAUCUCAACUCUUUGCUAUUGAAUUUAGUGUUCACCAAUAAAUAAUCGACACAUCAUUUUACAUUAAAGCGUUACAUAAUUUUUAGCACAAGUAACACUAAGAGAAAAUUUGAAUAUAUUAAUGUAAAAUGAUGUGUCAAUCAUUUAUUGGAUGGAUAAUGAAUGAGAUAGCAACUUUUAGAUAGCCGAUCUCAACUCCAACAAGGAUAGGUGGAUAAGAAUUUUGGGGUGAAUGCAUUGUGAGAUCCUAGCCAAUUACUUAUAGGUGUCGUUAGAAGUGGUUUUGUGGAGUGGAGUAGAGAGUAAAAUGAUAAGGUAAAUUGAAAUUUGAAAAGGACGGCAAAUUUUGGACAUCAUAUCUCAACUCUUUGCUCUCCAAUUUACUAUCCACCAAUAAAUGAUCGACCUAUCAUUUUACAUUAAAGUAUCACAUAAUUUUAAGCACAAGUGACAGUAAAAGAAAAGUUGGAUAUAUUAAUUUAAAAUGAUGUAUCAAUCACUUAUUGGAUGGAUAACAAAUUGUACAACAACUUUUAGAUAGCAAAUCUCAACUCCAACAAGGAUAGAUGGAUAAGAAUUUGGGGUGAAUGCAAUGUGAGAUCCUAGGCAAUUAAUUAUGGUUGUGGCCAUGAGUGGUUUUGUGGAGUGAAGUAGAGCGUCAAAUGAUAAGGCAACUUGAAAUUUGAAAAGGUUAGCAAAUUUUAGACAGCAUAUCUCAACUCUUUGCUCUCUAAUUUAUUAUCCACCAAUAAAUGAUCGACAUAUCAUUUUAUAUUAAAGUAUCAUCUAAUUUUAAGAACAAGUGACAGUAAGAGAAAAGUGGGAUAUGUUAAUUUAAAGUGAUGUGCCAAUCAUUUAUUAGAUGGACAACAAAUUGGAUAGCAACUUUUAGACGGCAUAUCUCAACUCGAACAAAGAUAUGUGGAUACUGAAAAUGAUAGGGUGAUUGAAUAAGGAAACCUUUGGAAAGCCUCAUAAUAGAACAUGAAGAUAGAUAGGUAGGUGGUGGUGGUGGUGGUGGUUUGCUUUCGAUUUGAUUAUGUUUUAGGGGUAGCAACGACCUAGUUUUCUUGGUGGGCACCGUUCUAUAUGAUCCUAGACAGUCCGUGUAAGGAAUUUGAAACGAUCGUGUGGGCUUAUAUGUGUAAAUUAUUGUAUACUAAAUUAAAUGCUAUCGAAUUCGAUUGAACCCAUUUAAAGUGAUCUAAUAAGGCUUCAGUUUUGGACUUUAAUGCAUCCAAUUAAAGUAUAUGUUUAUUUUAUGUGUAGAGACCGGACUCAAGUUCCUAAUUCUAUGAUGGGCCGAAUUAGGUCAAAGGACAUCGCUAUAUAAAUACAGUUGCGGUCCCCAGAUCACACGUACAUAUUAUACAUUCUCUUCUGAAUCC